CUAUUUUCUUGUAGUGUUGACUCAGCUAAAGGUCGACUCAUCUCAUCUAGGGUUGACUCAUGAAGCACUAUGUCUCAGGAUCGCUCUCUGUCUUUUAACAUAGCCAUUCAAGGAUCAACUCGGCUGAAGUUGAGGUCAACUGAUCCCAAGCGAAGCUCAACUCAUAAAGUGCUGUAGUCAAUUCAAGAAUAAACCACUUUUCAUGACUCUUUAUCUUUAUCCUGAGACCGUUCUA
rnacentral:lncRNA from 1 species